CAAACAAUCAUGGCACCUUACAGAAUUUUGUGGCCACGGUGCAGGGAAUAUCGCAUGGCGAUCUGACCCACCGUGGGACAGGACAGAUGGUACUGAGGUGACGGGACGAGGAGACUGUGCAGGUGUGGUCAGCGAGGGGGCGCCCUCGUGGGCAGAGCAUCGACUUCCUGCUUCCGCUCCUCUGGGUUUAUGAUUAUCUCAUAGAAACUGUGUAACCCUUAAAACCUGAGGGUCCUUCAUUAGAUCAUAGAGAAGUCAAGAUUUCGAAGCAUGAAGGUCAACGCUUUUACAGGAAGGAUGAAAGAUGGAGGCAGCUGUUCAUUUUCCCAGAAUGCACCAGCGAUACACAGAUAGGGACUGCCACUGUCUCUGAUGUGACGUG